CUACGGAGUACAUAAAAACAUCUAAAUUAGAUGUUUAAUUUACCUUAAAGACUAUUUUAAAAAUCAGUUAUGUAGCUUGUUGAAUAGUCCAAGUGAUAUAUAUCUAGUUUUGAGAGAACUUUAAUCUCUCAAAUAUGUUCUUUGAAAACUGAAUAGUAAAGAUAUUUAAUUAAUAUAACAACGACAUCAAAUAAAACAAUUAGUCAAUUUGUUUUGUGAUACCGAGUUAUAAAUUAUUAGUAAUAAUAGUUUAUUAAAAUGUCUUUGAAUACAUCAACAAUAGGAAAAUACAUAACU
rnacentral:misc_RNA from 1 species